ACGGAGGGUGCGAGCGUUAAUCGGAAUCACUGGGCGUAAAGCGCACGUAGGCGGUGUCGUAAGUCGGAUGUGAAAGCCCUCGGCUCAACCGGGGAACUGCAUUCGAUACUGCGAUGCUUGAGUGCCGGAGAGGGUGGCGGAAUUCCAGGUGUGGGAGCGGACUCCGUAGAUAUCGGGAGGGACAUCAGUGGGGGAGGCGGUCACAUGGCCGGCAACUGACGCUGAGGUGCGAAAGCGUGGGGAUGAAACAG
rnacentral:rRNA from 1 species